CAGCUCUUACAGCUCUGUUAGAAAUUUUGUAGCAGGUUUUGCUGACUUUGUUUGGAAAAACCCAU
ensembl:snRNA Gm25656 U7 small nuclear RNA